AGUGAACGCUGGCGGUAGGCCUAACACAUGCAAGUCGAACGGCAGCACAGUAAGAGCUUGCUCUUACGGGUGGCGAGUGGCGGACGGGUGAGGAAUACAUCGGAAUCUACUUUUUCGUGGGGGAUAACGUAGGGAAACUUACGCUAAUACCGCAUACGACCUACGGGUGAAAGCAGGGGAUCUUCGGACCUUGCGCGAUUGAAUGAGCCGAUGUCAGAUUAGCUAGUUGGCGGGGUAAAGGCCCACCAAGGCGACGAUCCAUAGCUGGUCUGAGAGGAUGAUCAGCCACACUGGAACUGAGACACGGUCCAGACUCCUACGGGAGGCAGCAGUGGGGAAUAUUGGACAAUGGGCGCAAGCCUGAUCCAGCCAUACCGCGUGGGUGAAGAAGGCCUUCGGGUUGUAAAGCCCUUUUGUUGGGAAAGAAAAGCAGCAGGUUAAUACCCCGCUGUUCUGACGGUACCCAAAGAAUAAGCACCGGCUAACUUCGUG
rnacentral:rRNA from 1 species